GUUGGUUUGCCACAUUAAGAUCCACACUUCUCUGUGAUGGUUCAGCUAGCUGUGUAUCUUGCCAUUGCUGGUUUGCCACAUUAAGAUCCACACUUCUCUGCGAUGGAGCUAAUUGUGAAUCUUGCCAUUGCUGGUUUACCACAUUAAGAUCCACACUUCUCUGUGAUGGAGCUAGGUGUGAAUCUUGCCAUUGCUGGUUUACCACAUUAAGAUCCACACUUCUCUGUGAUGGAGCUAGCUGUGAUUCUUGCCAUUGCUGAUUUUCCACAUUAAGAUCCACACUUCUCUGUGAUGGAGCUGGUUGUGAAUGUUGCUUUUCCACAUUAAGAUCCACACUUCCCUGUGAUGGAGCUGGUUGUGAAUAUUGCCGUUGCCGGUUUUCCAC
rnacentral:lncRNA from 1 species